rnacentral:rRNA from 1 species
AUUGAACGCUGGCGGCAUGCUUUACACAUGCAAGUCGAACGGCAGCGCGGGCUUCGGCCUGGCGGCGAGUGGCGAACGGGUGAGUAAUACAUCGGAACGUGCCCAGUAGUGGGGGAUAGCUCGGCGAAAGCCGGAUUAAUACCGCAUACGACCUGAGGGUGAAAGCGGGGGAUCUUCGGACCUCGCGCUAUUGGAGCGGCCGAUGGCAGAUUAGCUAGUUGGUGGGGUAAAGGCCUACCAAGGCGACGAUCUGUAGCUGGUCUGAGAGGACGACCAGCCAAACUGGGACUGAGACACGGCCCAGACUCCUACGGGAGGCAGCAGUGGGGAAUUUUGGACAAUGGGCGAAAGCCUGAUCCAGCAAUGCCGCGUGUGUGAUGAAGGCCUUCGGGUUGUAAAGCACUUUUGGCGGGAACGAAAAGGACUGUGCAAAUACCACGGUUCGAUGACGGUACCCGCAGAAUAAGCACCGGCUAACUACGUG